UGAAUCUACCAUCGCCAUUGACGAACACAAUAAUACGGAAAGUAUUGUCGAUGAUCUGCUUUACAACAGCGUCAUAGAUGGGGCCAGGCAUCCAGUUGACGAUGGUGAAUCUAGCCACAAACAAGCGUGUGAGCCUGAUCUAGCCGCAAACCACUCCCAAGAACAUAUUUGCGCAUUCGCAAUAACUGAUGAACUUCUGUACACUGACGUCGUGGAACUGAAACCUCUGGCUGCUA